rnacentral:misc_RNA from 1 species
GAUGAAGAACGCAGCGAAAUGCGAUACUUGGUGUGAAUUGCAGAAUCCCGUGAACCAUCGAGUCUUUGAACGCAAGUUGCGCCCGAAGCCAUUAGGCCGAGGGCACGCCUGCCUGGGCGUCACACGUCGUUGCCCCCCCCAUCUACUCCUUCGGGAUUGCGGGGGGCGGAUGAUGGCCUCCCGUGCGCCUCGCCGCGCGGUUGGCAUAAAUGCCAAGUCCUCGGCGACGCACGCCACGACAAUCGGUGGUUGCGAAACCUCGGCUGCCCGUCGUGUGCGGUCGUCGCGCAUCGAGGGCUCGAAAAAAUUGCCGAGUUCCGGCUCGGCUUUCAACGCGACCCCAGGUCAGGCGGGGUUACCCGCUGAAUUUAAGCAUAUCAAUAAGCGGAGGA